rnacentral:rRNA from 1 species
GGUCCCUUCCCCAACCCGUUACAGGGGAAAGGAAGGGACGAAUACCUUUACUUAGUUCGAAACGAACCCUUUACUUAAAAAAACCGUACUUUUUUCUUCAACUGUCCCUUUAUUAUGUCAUUAUCAUACAAUUGGCAAUGAACAAUGGGCAAUUAUCAAUAUAUAUUGGUAACUGUUGAUCGUUAAUCAAAACAUUGACCGAAUAAUUUAGGUGGCCAUGGCGACGGGGCCCACCCCUUACCAUUCCGAACAGGGAAGUUAAGCCCGUCUGCGCCGAUGGUACUGCUACACUAAGUGGGAGAGUAGGCCGCCGCCUUUU